UUCUAAGUACUGCACAGGGUUUUGUUACCCCUGGCAGUCUACUGUUCCCCUACUUCAAACAGGGCUGCGUUACCUAUUGCUGCACAUGUGUAGCUCAGAAAGAUCCUAUUUUGUUCCCACCAGUACAAGAUGAAGAGAAGAUCCCGCUGAGAUGCUGUGUUCUGAAUGUUCAUGUAGGUUAAGCCUCCCUUGCCUUUUUCUGCUGCAUAUUCAACUUCUGCACACUUGGAGCCUGUUGUCUUUUUGUUCCCUGGAGGUGUAGAAAUUAUUCUUCUAUGAUGAUUUCAUUCUGAACAAGCACCAUCUUUUCUUUAUAUUCAUCCUGCCCUCUCCAAAAAGAAGGCAAGAUGACAAGGGCUACAUUUUAGAAAUUAAUAAUUGCAUUCUCGCAAAUGCUUGGCUCUAAGAAAACAAUGCUUCAAAAAGGGAAAAGCCAGUAGAUUGUGUUUACUUAUUUAAAACAUUCACCAAGGAACAAUUCCCCCAGAUUGAGUUUUAAGCUGUCAAGAAUCAAAGAAAACAAAUGAAGUGGCACUUAAUUUAAUUGAAAAUUAUGCUUAUGGGGUUUUGUGUCUGCAUUCAAUUUUUAGCACAUGUAGUCUUUUGAUAUUGCUAAGGUUAAAAUUAAAAUUAUGUAUUUAUUGCUAUUGUCUGGAAAUACUGCAGACAAAGUACAGGCUCUAAAGAACUGGUGUUGAAUAACUUGUGUCUUUGUAGCAGUUCUAUUUUUAAGUAAUACACAGUAUCUAAGGGAAGAUGUUACAGGAGAAUUGGCUGUAAAAAUGAAAGGUAGUAACUGGAGCUUUGAUUUAAUUGGUGUGUGACCUCUGCUGCUUCCUGACAGAAGCCUGUCUGAUAGAGCCAAUGCCAGCCAGCUCCAAGAUGGACUCACCACUGGCCGAGCCCAUCAGAGAUGGUGGUAGCACCUCUGGGAUACCAUUUUAAGAGGGAAAAAAAAAAGGAAACCUCUGUGCAAUUGCAGCUGGAGAGAGGUGUCAGGAUAUGUGAGCAGAAUAAGUCUGCAGACACCAAGGUCAGUGAAGAAGGAGGGAAGAAGUUUCUCCAGGUGCCAGAGCAGAGAUUCCCCUGCAACGCAUGGUUGGUGUGCGCCACUGUGAGGUAGGCCCAUGCAAUCCGUGGAGAUCCACAGUGCAGCAGAUCUCCACCUGUAGCCCUUGAAGGACCACACACAGGAGAGGAAGAUGCCUGAAGGAGGCUGUGACCUCAUGGGAAACCUAUGGUGGAGCAGGCUUCUGGCAGGACCUGUGUCCUCAUGGAGAGAGGAGCUCACGCUGGAGCAGACCAUCUGGAAGCAGGAAAGACUGUCAAUGAGACUUUCAGAAAUCAGCAGUAUGAAAUACAUGAGAAGACCGGGUGCUUAGUAUAGGACAUGGGUCUCUGCCAUUGGCCUAGCAUAUGCCAUUCAGAAUAUCUUCCAUGUUAUCAUCUCAAUGCCCAGAUGGGACCUGUUGCCUGCAAACUCAAGUGAGUCAUCCUAGCUGACUAGAUCUACUGUUUUGCAUACACCUCAAUGGCUGCAAAAAGAUCUUUGUGUUUGGGAGGAGAAAUUGAUUUGCAUAAGCUUCAUUUUUAUUCAUGCCAUAGCUGUACUCUGCCAAUUAUGCUAUAAAUAAACUGAUGUGUAGGCAGGUAAUGUAUA